AUUGAACGCUGGCGGCAUGCCUUACACAUGCAAGUCGAACGGCAGCACGGGAGCUUGCUCCUGGUGGCGAGUGGCGAACGGGUGAGUAAUACAUCGGAACGUACUCUGAAGUGGGGGAUAACGUAGCGAAAGUUACGCUAAUACCGCAUAUUCUUGUGAGCAGGAAAGAGGGGGAUCGCAAGACCUCUUGCUUUAGGAGCGGCCGAUGUCGGAUUAGCUAGUUGGUGAGGUAAAGGCGUCACCAAGGCGACGAUCCGUAGCGGGUCUGAGAGGAUGAUCCGCCACACUGGGACUGAGACACGGCCCAGACUCCUACGGGAGGCAGCAGUGGGGAAUUUUGGACAAUGGGCGCAAGCCUGAUCCAGCCAUGCCGCGUGAGUGAAGAAGGGCCCUUCGGGUUGGUUAAG
rnacentral:rRNA from 1 species